UUUUUGGAGGAUUUUCAUUUUGUUCAUAAAUGUUUAUAAUCUUCAGCGUGAAUGCUCUCUAACUAGCCAAAAUGAGCUAACCUGACAGGAUUUUAACCCAUAUUCAAACUCUUUAUUAUUCACUAACAUGAGUUAACCUGACAAGAUUUUGGAGGAUUUAUUUUGUUCAUAAAUGUUUAUAAUAUCCAUCACUAAUGCUAUCUUACUAGCUAACAUGAGUUAAUCUGACACAUCCAGGAAUGGAUUUUUCAUUCUAGUUAUAAAUGUUUGAUAUUCACUAUUCAAUCUCUUUAACUAGCUAAAAGGCACUAACCUGACAAGAUUUUCAUAAUUUUAACAGCUAUUGCUAGAUUCUUGGCUAAUGUGAGUAAACCUGACAGAAUUUCUGAGAGGAGUUUUCAAUUACAAGCAUAAAUAUUCAUACAGUCCCUUCAGAACGUAUUGGAGCGGCGACUAAUUCAUUAGUGUGUGCUGUACACUGAAGACAUUUGAGUUUGAGAUCAAAAGAUGGAAAUGAGAUGAUAGAUCAGGAUUUCAGCUUUCGUUUUCUGUUAUUUACAUCUAGACGUGUUAAAUUACUUACAACACUUUUAGUAUUAGACCACACAAUUUUUAGCUUCUCCAGGUUUCUCCUGCAGCUUCUUUCAGUAGUUGUUUGUUUCGGGGGGGGUUUCUCCCUUCAGUCUCCUGUGAAGUCAUCUCUUCUGUGGAUCAUCUCUGUGUUUCUUUGUGAAUUCCAGUCUGGAUUUCUGACUCUUACUGCUGAUGAGAGGUUUUCAUCUUGUGGUACAGUCUCUAUAUUUCUGCUCUCGAAGUCUUCUCUGAACGGUGGAUCGUGAGGCCUUCACCCUGCCCUGUGGAGGUUGUUGGUGAUGUCACUGACUGUUGUUUUUGGGUUUUUCUUCACAGAUCUCACAAUGUUUGUCAUCAGCUGCUGUAGUUUUCCUCGGCCGACCCGUUCGGUGUCUUUUCCUCAGUACACCAGGGGUUUCUUUCUUUUCCAGGACAUUCCAGAUUGUUGUAUUGGCCAUACCCAGUGUUUGUGCAAUGCUUCUAUUUUCUCUCUUUUCUCAGCUUCAAAAUGUCUUGUUUUCUCCCAGAGACAGCUCUCUGAGCUUCAUCUUGGUUUAUCCUUUUUAACAACAAAUGCAGUCUUCACAGAUGACAGUCUCUCAGCUAUGCUGUUUUUGUUUAGCUUAGCUGUCUCAUUGUUUUUCUGACAGUGACUACGUUUACAUGGACAGCAGUAAUCUAAUUAUUGACCUUACUCUGAGUAAGAUAAUAUUGUGAUUAAGGUGUUUACAUGAGCCGCUUUUAGAAAACUCCUGUCAUGUUCCCGUUUUACGUUAUAGAUCAUAAUUAGAUUAACAGCCCACGUCAUUACGUCACCGCGCCACGCCGUCCGACGUUCCUCCAGAAUUUCACGUAUCAACUUACAGUUGGUCUUCGUUAUGGAACCGUACACAGUUUUGGGUGUUUUAUUUAAAUUUUUUACGAACGCUUUGAGUGCGGUUAAUUAUUAGUCAUGCUGUACGUGCUAAUAGACGACUGCUUGAAGCCGUGGGCUGCGUCUCAAGCUGUGUACUUAUCGUCUAUAUAGUAGCCGAGAUGCAUGUAUUUUUCCCCACUACAGGUCUAUAGUAGGCAAGUACGCGGUUUGGGUCGUAGCUGAACUCUCUUGCCGUAAAACAUAAAACUGCCGUGUGUGAUCGUGUCCUGUCGCAGAAUGCGGUGAAAACUCUCACAUGACGUUCAUAAUGUGAUUAAGGUGUUUACAUGUCUGUAAUACACGUCCAUAAUGCGACUAAAACAGGAGUACUCCACCUGUCUUAAUUCCAUUAGAGCUUUAUUCGAGUAUGACCUUAAUUAGAUUAAGGUAAGUAAAAAUUGCUGUUUACAUGCUAGUUUCUUAAUCAAAGUAUGGUCUUAAUCGGAUUAAUAGUGGAUUAUUGUUGUCCAUGUAAACGCAGCUAAUGAUUAUACUGGCUAACUGGCCUAACUAGCAUGAGCUAACUAGUAUUACCACUAUGUAAUUUGUUGCUAACUAAAUUCGUAGAUGUUUAUGAUAUGUUUAAGUGGGAACGGACAUAAAAGUUAAUAAAUGUGUCAGGUUUCCUUUAUAACAGUCAUUUAUAAUGAACAAUUCCCAACACUUCAAAAUCAGGAAAUCAGGGUUAGCGUGAGAAUCAAACAGACUCAGCUAAAUACUGCGCUAGCUGUGUGUGUGUGUGUGUGUGAACCCUUCAGUUGUAAUGAGUCUUGGUUUCACUUGGGGCCAAGACUCAGAGAAUUUGUGUAUGUGUGUGUGUGUGUGAGUGUGUGUGUGUGUGUGUGUGUGUGUUAGAGUGGUCCCAGCAGUGCUGCUGUUAGGAAGCUGUUUACCCUCUAUAUCUGUCUCCACUGACGUCUGCCCUCUCAACAAUGUCAUCCAAUUUCCUGUUUUUCACUUCAGUGGGAAGCCACUGCUGCACUGUGUGUAUGUGUGUAUGUGUGUAUGUGUGUAUGUGUGUGUAUGUGUGUGUAUGUGUGUGUAUGUGUGUGUAUGUGUGUGUGUGUGUGUGUGUGUGCGAUGUAUAGAAGCGGAUGCAGUCGAAAGACAGGAUGCAGGGUUUUACGCUGAUCUGUAGUUCAGCGCUAUAGCUAUUAGCUCUUAGCAGAAGUCCUGAAGUGUAACGGCUACCAGUUAGCUAAAGUUCUCAUGUGUAAAUACAAUUAAUGAUUAACCCGUUUUAUAAAGGUGUCAUUUUCCCCCAUAGCCAACUGUGAUACAAGACACAGCAGAAAUGCAUGAUUCGAUUAUUUAUUUAUUUGUGUGUCUGUGUUUGUUUGUUUGUUUGUUUGUUUGUUAGUUUGUUUGUUUAUUUAUUUUGGACAUUCUGGACACAUAGCUACACAAACAAUUUAAUAAACAUCAAAGAUAUAACAUGAAAUAUAAUUAUAAUAAUUGGUAUGUGUAAAUAUUUCUCCCACGGCGCUGCUGAGUUCUGGACUGUGAUUGGGUCGUCAGGUGGUGAUUAGUUUUCUAUAACAGCGGCUCUGACAGUAGCGCAGGUUUUUAUUAAUGCUCUCGUUCUGAUACGUUAUGGUUUCUAUAGUAACGGCUCGUUCACAGGGACGUGUACAGCGCACGCUCCACAUUGUACGUGUGUCUGAUCAUUUAUAAACAUGGAGACGUUUAUGUAACAGUUAUGGAAGGAGUCUCCAGUGUCAGAGGUAAAGCUGUAACUUUAAGUUUUCCCACAUCUUCAGCACAGAGAAUAGAGAGAGAGACAGAAUAGAGAGAGAGAGAGACAGAAUAGAGA